GACCGAUACCGUGAAGAAAAGUUGAAAAGUACUUUGAAGAGUUAACGAGUACGUGAAACCGUUCAGAGGUAAACCUAAGAAACCCAAAAAAUCGAACGGGGAGAUUCAUCGUCAACGAAACUGGCUUCGCGUCGGUGGGCGAUAACCCCGCGGUGUGUCCUAAGCGGCACGCGCGUGCGGGGACGCUACCGAACGCCGAUGUCCGGUUUUCGUCAUCGUGCACUUCUCUCCUAGUAGAACGUCGCGACUCGCUGUGUGUCGGUCACCGACCCGGGUGCGGUUACUGUCACGUCGCCCGUAAAAACGGCGCGCGGCAAACACCCCCGGUCGCCCGACCAGCUGCCCGGCGGUACACGUAC
rnacentral:rRNA from 1 species